rnacentral:rRNA from 1 species
CGUGUAGGCGGUUGGUCAAGUCUGAUGUGAAAGCCCGGGGCUCAGCUCCGGAAGUGCGUCGGAAACUAGCCAGCUGGAGCGCGAUAGAGGAGGGCGGAAUUCCUGGUGUAGCGGUGAAAUGCGUAGAUAUCAGGAGGAACACCGGCGGCGAAGGCGGCCCUCUGGAUCGUUGCUGACGCUGAGACGCGAAAGCGUGGGGAGCAAACAGGAUUAGAUACCCUGGUAGUCCACGCUGUAAACUAUGGGUACUAGGUGUUCGGGGUAUUGACCCCCUGAGUGCCGCAGCUAACGCAUUAAGUACCCCGCCUGGGGACUACGGCCGCAAGGUUAAA